AUUGAACGCUGGCGGCAUGCCUUACACAUGCAAGUCGAACGGUAACAGGUCUCCGGAUGCUGACGAGUGGCGAACGGGUGAGUAAUACAUCGGAACGUGCCCGAGAGGGGGGGAUAACGAGGCGAAAGCUUUGCUAAUACCGCAUACGAUCUCAGGAUGAAAGCCGGGGACCGCAAGGCCUUGCGCUCACGGAGCGGCCGAUGGCAGAUUAGGUAGUUGGUGGGAUAAAAGCUUACCAAGCCGACGAUCUGUAGCUGGUCUGAGAGGACGACCAGCCACACUGGCGCGGAGACACGGCCCAGACUCCUAGGGGAGACAGCGGUGGGAAAUUUUGGACAAUUGGCGCAAGCCAGAUCCAGCCAUGCCGCGUGCAGGAUGAAGGCCUUCGGGUUGUAAACUGCUUUUGUACGGAACGAAAAGACUCCUUCUAAGAAAGGGGGUCCAUGACGUUACCGUAAGAAUAAGCACCGGCUAACUACGUGCCAGCCGCCGCCGUAACAC
rnacentral:rRNA from 1 species